AGGUUUUUCUCCAGUGUGCACUCUCAAAUGUGUUUUCAAAGUACUCGCUACGCUAAAUUGCUUAAAACAAAUCUCACACUUGUAAGGUUUUUCCUCGGUGUGCACUCUCAAAUGUGUUUUCAAAGUACUCGCUACGCUAAAUUGCUUAAAACAAAUCUCACACUUGUAAGGUUUUUCUCCAUUGUGCACUCUCAAAUGUAUUUUCAAAUGACUUGCAGUAAGAAACUGUUUAAAACAAAUUUCACACUUGUGAGGUGUUUUUCCACUGUGUACUGACAUGUGAGAAGUUAAUUGAAAUUUGUGAGCAAACCGAUUAAAACAUAUAUCACACUGAUAAGGUUUUUCUCCAGUGUGCACUCUCAAAUGUCUUUUCAUAGUACCGGCUUCACUAAACUGUUUUAAACAAAUUUCACACUUGUGAGGUUUUUCCUCAGUGUGCACUCUCAAAUGUCUUGUCAAACUACUUGCUACGCUAAAUUGCUUGAAACAAAUCUCACAUUUAUAAAGUCUUUUUUCAUUUCCUUCGUAAAAUGGAUCUUCAAUGGGUUUCUCCAUGAUUUCCAUUUUGAUUUCAUCUUGGAGAUAACCUAAAAAAAAACCAAGUCUUGUAAUCGGUAAAGGCAGUUAAGAUUUAAUUGCGAUUCAGAGACCACUACCAUCUGUCUAUGGCCAUUUCAACCUCUUGGUAUCUUCAGGAGAGCCUGUAGUGUGCUUUGAAUCGGAAUCAAAUCUUUCUGCCGUGUAUGCCAAUUAUAAUAAAAUAAUUAACAAAUAGACGCAGUAGUGAUAUCUAAUAAAAGAUAAGUGAAACCCAAGAUACUCCGACGAAAUAGUAGGAGGAUGCCAGUACGGUUUCCGUCCUAAUAAAUCAACAACGGACCAAAUAUUUACAGUGAGGCAGAUCCUCGAAAAAACCCUAGAGUUCGGUGUCGACACCCACCACAUAUUCGUGGACUUCAAGCCGCAUACAACUCAGUUAAUAGAAGUUAACUUGAUAUGGUAGAAUUUCAAAUACCGCUUCAUCUUGGCCAAUUAACUCAACUUACACUCACAGAAGCAGAGAGCAUGGUAAAAACUCAAAAUGAUUUCUCAAGACCCUUUCAUUGCAAAAAUUGACUAAGACUAUCGAUAACUAUCGAUGACUAACGAUAGACUAUCGUGUCUCUUAUUUAAUCUGGCAUUAGAAAAAAUAAUUCGAGAGUCCCAGAAUUAAUAUGAAUGGUACUAUCUUUAACAAAUCAGUACAAAUUGUCGGAUAAGCAGAUGACGUGUAGA